CACAUUCAUCGCUGUCGGUGGGUU
rnacentral:miRNA from 3 species